rnacentral:rRNA from 1 species
CCAGACUCCUACGGGAGGCAGCAGUGAGGAAUAUUGGUCAAUGGCCGAGAGGCUGAACCAGCCAAGUCGCGUGAGGGAUGACGGCCCUACGGGUUGUAAACCUCUUUUGCCGGGGAGCAGUGGUCCGGACGCGUCCGGACCGGGAGAGUACCCGGAGAAAAAGCAUCGGCUAACUCCGUGCCAGCAGCCGCGGUAAUACGGAGGAUGCGAGCGUUAUCCGGAUUUAUUGGGUUUAAAGGGUGCGUAGGCGGGCAUUUAAGCCGGCGUAAAAUGGCGGGGGCCCAACCCCGGCCCGCCGUUGAAACUGGCAGUCUCGAGUUGGAGAGAAGUAUGCGGAAUGCGCGGUGUAGCGGUGAAAUGCAUAGAUAUCGCGCAGAACUCCGAUUGCGAAGGCAGCAUGCCGGCUCCACACUGACGCUGAGGCACGAAAGCGUGGGUAUCGAACAGGAUUAGAUACCCCGGUAC